rnacentral:pre_miRNA from 1 species
GAGAUACCCCUAUGACGCAGGUCUUGCUUCAGUGGGGCUUUGGUGCUCACUGAGUCUGCCCUUGAGUGUGUCACU